rnacentral:tRNA from 1 species
GCGAAGGUGGCGGAAUUGGCAGACGCGCUAGCCUUAGGAGCUAGUGCCCUCGGGCGUGCGGGUUCGAGUCCCGCCCUUCGCA